ACGGGAUCCGCCUCCCCGAGCCGCCUCUGCCCAGUCUCCGGCGAGAUCCACCGCCGCAUCGUUUCCCGUGCGAACUCGAGGUUGCCCCAAUUUUCCCCGUCCCAGGAAAUUCAUAAUAUGUGUGCAUGUUUAAUCCAUCAUAACUUCAUGUGUGUUGCUCCGUUUGCUGCGUGUAAUAUAUCAAAAUGUUCAUCAUGAGAUUCUCUUAAUUUCAUUCCAUUGUGCCAUGCUUGUUUGAGUUCAUCUUGAUGCCUAAAUCAUUGUUGCAAGAGUGUUAUAUGAUGUUAACUGCUGUCUGUUAUCAGAACUUGCUGACUUGUUAUUUUCGUUACAUUUUGUGUGUGCAUCCUAUGAGCUUGAUGUAUACAUGUGUUUUAGACUACAUCAUGACAUCUUUACAGGGGUGCUUGCCAUGUAUUUUUGUGAUCUAUGUGGUGACUAGCACAAGCAUGCAAAGUAGCCUCCGUGAUGUUGCUGAUUUCUGUGACUUAGUCAUUUCUGCUAAGUCUGAGUCUGUUAUAUUUUGUUGCCAUGUAAACCUGCUGUCACCAUGAGUUCUAUGUAUAAUCUGGAGAUGUUCCCUAAGGGUGUUUUGUUAUACAUGUUAUGGUGUAUCCAUCCGUGCCCUUGUUGGCAUUUAUAGCCUGCUGUAACUUGUUGUAAUCUUGCUCUCAAAUUGCUAAAUAAUGUUACUGUCAGCCUGUUAACAUGAAGUUCAGUUUUGACAUGUGUUUUGCUAGUGAUCCAUGUACCCUAUGGUCUUCCUCUUGCUAUUAUUAGCUUCACCAUUAUGCCAUCUUACUGUGAGUUACCUUCACAUUCCAUGAAAUGCUUUGUGAUGAGUGAUUUGAGCUCGCAAAUAUGCCUUCAUAAUUCUGUUUAUGCCAUGCUCAGUUUUUCUGCUAAGUCUGAAUCUGUUUAUGAAACUUGCUAUGUUUACAUGGGUGCCAUCAUAUCUUCUGUGCCUUUUUGGCUCGUAAUCAGUAAGGGACUUUUGUUCUAUGCAAUUAGUAGAUUCAUUCCAUGCCUUUGUUUGCUAUGAUCGGUUCCUGUAGCAUGUUGUUUGAUAACUCUAAACUUUGCAACCUGAUGUUAUUUCUGUCAUGUCCAGUAAUUUCUGCUAAGUCUGUGAAACUGUUAUUGUUUGCAAUCUUGCCAUGUCCUUUUGAGCAUGUUCUAGUGAUUUAUGGAGAUAGCUCAGUGUUCAUGUUUUGUAAUGCUUUACUUGUACAUCAUGUCCAUGCCUUUUGCUCUCAUGUUAGGAUGCUGUAGCAUAUUGUUUUGAUGCUUGCAAGAUACUUAGUUGUUGUUUUGGACAGAUUGUUGUUAUAUCUUGUUUGGAGUGUAUGUGUUGCAUCGUUGCUCCGCUUUGAGUGUGUUCUACAUGAAACUUGCUUAGAAAUGCAUGUAGCUUCAUAUUAUCAUGUUGCAUCCAUGUUUUGAGUGUGUUGGCUUGAUGUUUGUAUGCAUUUUGCAUCAAUGCUAUGUUUAUCUUGUUUUGCUCAUAUCUUCUAGGCCGUAGCUCCAAAUCUAAUGAACUUUAUAUGUAACUUGACUAGAAUUUCAUGUAGAUCAUCUUGGUGCAUAUUAACUUGCUGUUUAACAACUUGAACAUAAGGUUUAUUCAGAUCUGGACCAAUUUCGAAAUUUGCAUAUGAGGACUUACCGGAAUUGUUAUAUGUUGUUUCUGGCCUCAUUUAAACUUGCUUUGAUGUGUUGCUCUUGUAUGCAUCAUCUCUUGCCAUGAGUAGCUUCAUGUAGCCUUGUCAUGCAUCAUACUUGGUUGAGCAUCAUGCCUUAUUCAUGUGUGGUGUGUUUACCAUGUUGUGUGCUUCUUCUCGAUAGUUCCCGUUUCGUUGCGAUCGUGAGGAUUCGUUCGUCUAUGCUUGGUUCGUCUUCCUGGCUUCAUCUUCUUCAUGGACUCGUUCUUCUUCCUAGCGGAAUUUCAGGCAAGAUGACCGUCAUCUUGGAUCUCAUUACUAUCAUUGCUAUGCUAGUUGCUUCGUUCUAUCGCUAUGCUGCAUUACCUACUACUUGCUUAUCAAGCCUCCCAAAUUGCGAUGAAACCACCUCUAACCUUUGUCACCCUUCCUAGCAAACCAUUGUUUGGCUAUGUUACCGCUUUUUGCUCAGCCCCUCUUAUAGCGUUGUUAGUUGCAGGUGAAGAUGAAGUUUGCUCCAUGUUGGAUUAUGUUUAUGUUGGGAUAUCACAAUAUCUCUUAUUUAAUUAAUGCAUCUAUAUACUUGGUAAAGGAUGGAAGGCUCGGCCUUAUGCAUGGUGUUUUGUUCCACUCUUGCCGCCCUAGUUUCCGUCAUACCGGUGUUAUGUUCCUUGAUUUUGCGUCCCUUACGCGGUUGGGUGAUUUAUGGGACCCUCUUGACAGUUCGCUUUGAAUAAAACUCUUCCAGCAAGGCCCAACCUUGGUUUUACAUUUGCCUCACCUAGCCUUUUUCCCUUGGGAGUCGCGCAUCCCGAGGGCCAUCUUUAUUUUAACCCCCCGGGCCAAUGCUUCUCUAAGUGUUGGUCCGAACUAGAGCCACUUGCAGCGCCCCCUCGGGGAAACUUGAGGUCUGGUUUUAGUUGUACAUAGUGCUCAUCCGAUGUUGCCCUGAGAACGAGAUAUGUGCAGCUCCUAUCGGAUUGUCGGCACAUCGGGCGGCUUUGCUGGUCUUGUUUUAUCAAUGUUGAAAUGUCUUGUAAACCGGGAUUCCGAGACUGAUCGGGUCUUCCCGGGAGAAGGAAUAUCCUUCGUUGACCGUGAGAGCUUAUAAUGGGCUAAGUUGGGACACCCCUGUAGGGUAUUAUCUUUCGAAAGCCGUGCCCGCGGUUAUGUGGCAGAUGGGAAUUUGUUAAUGUCCGGUUCUAGAGAACUUGACACUUAACUUAAAUAAAACGCAUCAACCGCGUGUGUAACCGUGAUGGUCUCUUUUCGGCGGAGUCCGAGAAGUGAACACGGUUUUGGGUUAUGUUUGACGUAAGUAGGAGUUCAGGAUCACUUCUUGAUCAUUGCUAGUUUCACGACCGUUCCAUUGCUUCUCUUCUCGCUCUUAUUUGCGUAUGUUAGCCACCAUACUUGCUUAGUCGCUGCUGCAACCUCACCACUUUACCCCUUCCUUACCCAUUAAGUUUUGCUAGUCUUGAUACCCAUGGUAAUGGGAUUGCUGAGUCCUCGUGGCUCACAGAUUACUACAACACCAGUUGCAGGUACAGGUUUUGCGAUGAUCAUGAAGCGAGAGCGAUGUUACUUGUUUUGGAGUUCUUCUUCUGCUUCUUCUUCUUCGAUCAGGGGAUAGGUUCCAGGUCAACAGCCUGGGCUAGUAGGGUGGAUGUCGUUUGGGUUUCUGUUUGUGAUUCAUCCGUAGAUGGAUGUUGUUCUCAUGUAUAUUGAUGUAUUCUUGCGGCAUUUGUAUGCCUUGUAUGUAUCCACAUCUAUUAUGUAAUGUUGAUAUAAUGAUAUCCACCUUGCAAAAGCGUCUUCAAGAUGCGCUUCUAUCCUUGGUGGGACCUUUGAGUUCCUUUAGGAUAGGGUCGCAUCUUGGGCGUGACAGAAAUCUCGAGGUUCGG
rnacentral:lncRNA from 1 species